rnacentral:rRNA from 1 species
AUACGUAGGUGGCAAGCGUUGUCCGGAAUUAUUGGGCGUAAAGCGCGCGCAGGCGGUCCUUUAAGUCUGAUGUGAAAGCCCACGGCUCAACCGUGGCGGGUCAUUGGAAACUGGGGGACUUGAGUGCAGAAGAGGAAAGUGGAAUUCCAAGUGUAGCGGGGAAAUGGGUAGAGAUUUGGAGGAACACCAGUGGCGAAGGCGACUGUCUGGUCUGUAACUGACACUGAGGCGCGAAAGCGUGGGGAGCAAACAGGAUUAGAUACCCUGGUAGUCCACGCCGUAAACGAUGAGUGCUAAGUGUUGGGGGGUUUCCGCCCCUCAGUGCUGCAGCUAACGCAUUAAGCACUCCGCCUGGGGAGUACGGUCGCAAGACUGAAACUCAAAGGAAUUGACGGGG